CAAAUAAAGGAGAGACGUAAAAACGGUAGAUCAAGCUAGACGAAAAAACGAUGACACAGUUCUCCGGCGAAUGUUCUCUGUCCUUUUCCUCGCAAUAAAAUCUCUCAGAUUCACAAAAACAAAGGAGGACUAGGACGAGAACGGAGAAGAGAACUCGCUAAUUCUACCGCCUGAAUUACAAUUCUCUUAAGCGUUUGGUUUGUAUAAUUAGCUAUUUGGCGAUCCAUCGUUCAUCGACGACGGCAUAAAUCUCAAAUCUACUACUAUUUUGUUGAAUUUCCGUAUAUAUUUUCAUAUUUUGUAGAGCAUUUCCAGUUUAAGGAUCGGAAAAUAUGGAUAGUUUUGUCAGUAAAAUACGAAGUUUGGAUGCAUAUCCGAAGAUCAACGAGGAUUUCUACAGCAGAACACUUUCUGGAGGUGUUAUUACCUUAGCUUCCUCCAUUAUCAUGACGUUGCUUUUCAUCUCCGAGCUCCGAUUAUAUCUUCAUGCUGCCACCGAGACAAAGCUUGUUGUGGAUACUUCAAGAGGAGAAACACUGCGCAUCAAUUUUGAUAUCACCUUUCCAGCAAUUCCAUGUUCAAUUCUCAGUGUUGAUGCCAUGGAUAUCAGUGGAGAGCAACAUCUUGACAUUAGACAUGACAUCAUCAAGAAAAGAAUUGAUGUUCUCGGAAAUGUUAUUGAGACAAGGAAGGAGGGCAUUGGUUCACCUACGAUUGAUAGGCCUCUGCAAAGGCAUGGAGGAAGACUUGAGCACAACGAAACAUAUUGUGGUUCCUGCUAUGGUGCUGAAGGGUCAGAUGAUCAUUGUUGUAACACCUGCGAAGAUGUUCGUGAAGCCUAUAGAAAGAAAGGUUGGGCAUUGACAAACCCUGAUGAAAUUGACCAGUGUAAGAGAGAGGGUUUCCUAGAAAAGAUCAAAGAGGAAGAAGGUGAAGGAUGCAAUAUGUAUGGGUUCUUGGAGGUCAAUAAAGUGGCUGGAAAUUUCCACUUUGCACCUGGGAAGAGUUUUCAGCAGUCAAAUGUUCAUGUCCAUGAUUUGCUCACAUUUCAGAAGGAUAGUUAUAAUAUUAGUCACAAGAUCAAUAGAUUAACUUAUGGAGAAUACUUCCCAGGUGUUGUGAAUCCUCUUGAUGGUGUGAAAUGGACUCAAGAAACACCCCACGGCAUGUAUCAGUAUUUUAUCAAGGUGGUACCUACAGUAUAUACGGACGUCAGUGGGCAUACCAUCCAGUCAAAUCAGUUCUCGGUAACCGAACAUUUCAAAGGCGCAGAUUUUGGUCGUUUUCAGUCUAUUCCUGGUGUUUUCUUCUUCUAUGACCUUUCACCAAUCAAGGUAACAUUCACCGAGCAACACGUGUCAUUCUUACACUUCUUGACGAAUGUCUGUGCUAUAGUUGGAGGAGUUUUCACUGUGUCAGGGAUACUUGAUUCAUUCAUAUACCACGGUCAAAAGGCGAUCAAGAAAAAGAUGGAACUUGGUAAAUUUAGCUGAUCGGGUGAGAGCUCAUACUCUGUGUUGCUUACCAUGACGGAAUUGGUCCAAGACAAGGGAGACAAAAAGAUUGGACCAGCUGUGACAAGACUUGAACGACAGUUUUUCUGGAAAUGAUAUUACAGGAGAUCAAAUGCAAAGAAGGGGAUUAUUUAUGGGGCAGAAUUUGUUCACUUUUUCUGAUAAAUUAAACAUUGUAUACAUGAAGGAUUCUGAGGAACUUCAUUAGACCAGUGGAAACUUUUUCUUUUUUCUAUUCUUCCCGAUUAUGAGAGGCAAAUGAACGAGUUGGAUCAAAUCUGAUUCGCCCAUUGCAUGAACCUAUGAAAAUAAGUUCAUGAACAAUCAAUGGGUAUUUUUCA